rnacentral:rRNA from 1 species
GUGCCAGCAGCCGCGGUAAUACGUAGGUGGCAAGCGUUGUCCGGAUUUAUUGGGCGUAAAGCGAGCGCAGGCGGUUUCUUAAGUCUGAUGUGAAAGCCCCCGGCUCAACCGGGGAGGGUCAUUGGAAACUGGGAGACUUGAGUGCAGAAGAGGAGAGUGGAAUUCCAUGUGUAGCGGUGAAAUGCGUAGAUAUAUGGAGGAACACCAGUGGCGAAGGCGGCUCUCUGGUCUGUAACUGACGCUGAGGCUCGAAAGCGUGGGGAGCAAACAGGAUUAGAAACCCCGGUAGUCC